GCUAACUACGUGCCAGCAGCCGCGGUAAUACGUAGGGGCCGAGCGUUGUCCGGAGUUACUGGGCGUAAAGCGUGCGCAGGCGGCCUGUCGCGCCCGGCGUGAAAGCCCCCGGCUCAACCGGGGAGGGUCGUCGGGGACGGGCAGGCUUGAGGACAGCAGGGGCUGGUGGAAUUCCCGGUGUAGUGGUGAAAUGCGUAGAGAUCGGGAGGAACACCCGUGGCGAAGGCGGCCAGCUGGGCUGGACCUGACGCUGAGGCACGAAGGCGUGGGGAGCGAACGGGAUUAGAUACCCCUGUAGUC
rnacentral:rRNA from 1 species